rnacentral:sRNA from 1 species
GCUGGGCGCGGUGGCUCACGCCUGUAAUCCCAGCACUUUGGGAGGCUGAGGUGGGUGGAUCACCUGAGGUCAGGAGUUUGAGACCAGCCUGGCCAACAUGGUGAAACUCCGUCUCUACUUUAAAAAAAAAAAAAAAAAAGCCAGGUGCAGUGGCUCAUGCCUGUAAUCCCAGCACUUUGGGAGGCCGAGGCAGGUGGAUCAUCUGAGGUCAGGAGUUCAAGACCAGCCUGACCAACAUGGAGAAACCCCUUCUCU